rnacentral:lncRNA from 1 species
AUCCCCACGACCCAUUUACAGUUUUCAUAAAUCUUCUCCCCGUCGUCCCCAACCAUCCUUAAUCUUCUCCGGGAAUCUCUUCUUCACGGCUGUUGCUUCCUUGCUGGAAAUAUUUUCUUUGGGAACCCUAUCUGGAAAUCUCUUCAGUCUUCUCUGGUACUUAUUUGUUGAUCUUGUUUCUACAUAUUAUUUGGGUGAAAAGAAAAUCAUAAGAAAUGCUUGAUCCUGUUUAAUGUUUAUACGAAAAUCAAACAGGCUGUGGCUAAAGUUUUUUGAAUCUUUGCGAUGCUCGAGCAAUUAGUUCUUGGAAAUAUUUGUUGAGGUAUAAUCUUUCUUGAUAUCUUUCACAUGAUCGCUCUCUUUUAUAUACGUAGUUAAAGCAUGGUUUUCCAACACGUAGUUGUCCAGGUGUGCCUUCUUUGAGAGAAAAUGGACACGCACCCAUGGUAAUGCCAUUGAUACCUGUUGAGAUGUAAUUGGGUAUUUGGGUUGCUUGACUAUAUAGUGCAACUCAAUUAUGUACCAACAAUAAUAAUGUUCCUGAACAUAUUAUAUUAAUAACCUUAUUCCAUGUGCAAUACUAUUCCACCCAAACCAGUUUAUUUUAUUACUUUGAUUUUUUUGGAGGAAUUAAAUAUUUUAUUUGUACUGGAAUUAGUAAACUUUAAACUUUACAACUGUGUCCUCUCAUAAGACAUUGAAGUAAUGUUUAAUGUAUUUGGAAUUUUAAAUUUUUAUUAUUAAUUGAAUGAAUGUGUUUAUUUUUAAUUUGAAUAUUAAUUAAUGUAUUAAAUAUUAAUUAUUA